rnacentral:lncRNA from 7 species
GUGGACGGUAUACCUGCUCCGCCGGAAUCCUCGCGCGGGCUGGUUGACCGCGAGUUCCGCGGGACUCACCCACCUAUGCGCCGUCGGGGGGGAUAAAGGGGGAGCACCUCGUCCCCACGUUCUCCCUUCCAUCCGCCGGCUUUACACAACCAGAGAGUAGGGGAGAGAAAGAUCGGGCGCUGCCAUUGCCGUCGUUGACUCUCAUCUCCAUCACCGCUUUGUGUCUGUGACCCGAUCCCUGGUGUUCGGGUGUGGGCGUGGAUCGUUCUCGGGGAAGAAUCCGGGUGCGUGGGUCCUCGGGGCCGGGAGAAUUCCUCGUCGUCGUUACACCGCCGCUGCGGACCGCACUUCGCCGUAGCCUGCUUCCGCCGCCGUUCUGUGCAUGUU